rnacentral:lncRNA from 1 species
CUUCUUCAGUGCAUAAGAGCUGUCAAUGGUGCCCAUUGCUUAAGAUGUAAGGUUCAGGCCCCUGAGCUAGGCAUAUAAGGUUGACCUGGGACUCUAGUUCAGGGUCUUUCGUUGGCCAUGUCUGAAGGGGCUGGAUGCCGAAGGAGAGAGACGACUUUGCUUUCCAUAGAAUGGUUUGUGCUAUCUGACUCCCACAAGGCACCUUCGUUAACGGGUCCAUCAGUGGGCCUGGAGGCUGGGCAGCUGUCCUGAAACAGAAGAGUUGGGAAAGGCACUAAGAGACAG